GACGUAGGGCGCAAGCGUUGUCCGGAUUUAUUGGGCGUAAAGAGCUCGUAGGCGGCUCGUUGCGUCGGCUGUGAAAACCCGCAGCUCAACUGUGGGCUUGCAGCCGAUACGGGCGGGCUGGAGUUCGGUAGGGGAGACUGGAAUUCCUGGUGUAGCGGUGAAAUGCGCAGAUAUCAGGAAGAACACCUAUGGCGAAGGCAGCACUCUGGGACGGUACUGACGCUGAGACGCGAAAGCGUGGGGAGCGAACAGG
rnacentral:rRNA from 1 species